CUUCGGUCUCUAGCGGCGGACGGGUGAGUAACGCGUGGGUAACCUGCCUCAUGAAGGGGGAUAACAGUGAGAAAUCACUGCUAAUACCGCAUAAGACCACAGUAUCGCAUGGUAGGGUGGUAAAAGGAGUAAUUCGACAUGAGAUGGACCCGCGUCUGAUUAGCUAGUUGGUGAGGUAACGGCUCACCAAGGCGACGAUCAGUAGCCGACCUGAGAGGGUGAUCGGCCACAUUGGGACUGAGACACGGCCCAAACUCCUACGGGAGGCAGCAGUGGGGAAUAUUGCACAAUGGGGGAAACCCUGAUGCAGCAACGCCGCGUGAAGGAUGAAGGUUUUCGGAUCGUAAACUUCUAUCAGUAGGGAAGAAACAUGACGGUACCUAACUAAGAAGCCCCGGCUAACUACGUGCCAGCAGCCGCGGUAAUACGUAGGGGGCAAGCGUUAUCCGGAAUCACUGGGUGUAAAGGGUGCGUAGGCGGUACGGCAAGUCAGAUGUGAAAACCCGGGGCUCAACCUCGGGAGUGCAUUUGAAACUGUCGGACUAGAGUGCAGGAGAGGAAAGUGGAAUUCCUAGUGUAGCGGUGAAAUGCGUAGAUAUUAGGAGGAACACCAGUGGCGAAGGCGACUUUCUGGACUGUAACUGACGCUGAGGCACGAAAGCGUGGGGAGCGAACAGGAUUAGAUACCCUGGUAGUCCACGCCGUAAACGAUGAGUGCUAGGUGUCGGGGGUCAAACCUCGGUGCCGCAGUUAACACAAUAAGCACUCCACCUGGGGAGUACGAUCGCAAGAUUGAAACU
rnacentral:rRNA from 1 species